ACACCUUUAACCCCAGCACUCAGGAGGCAGAGGCAGGUGGAUCUUUGAGCUAGAGGCCAACCUGGUCUAGAGUGAGUUCCAGGAUAGUUGGGGGGUACACAGAGAAAUUCUGGAGAGAGAGGGGGGAGAGAGAGAGAGAAUAUGAGAAUAAGAAAGUUCAUGGGAUGGAGAGAUGGCUCAGUGUAUAGAGCACUGACUGCUCUUCCAGAGGUCCUGAGUUCAAUUCCCAGCAACCACAUGGUGACUCACAACCAUCUGUAAUGGGAUCUGAUGCCCUCUUCUGGGGUGUCUGAAGACAGUGAUAGUGUACUCACAUACUUGAAAUAAAUAAAUAAAUCUUAAAAAAAAAAAAAAAAGAGUUCGGAUCAGGAUUUCUGUGAGGAUGGGGGUGGGUGGGGACUCUAGUAGGUACCUGCACAUCCAGGAGGGAGAAGAAUAAACUAUGGUUGUACAGUGCGAACCCCACUUUCCCUUUCCCUGUAGGGUACAGGCCAGGAGGCAAGCCACACAGUCUGAGUGCCAAGGAACAUGUGUCAGCUCUUUCCUCUUGUUUGUGUCCCUUCCUCUGCCUACCUGCGCAGUGGUCACUAGGCCCGUGUUGACAGCUCAGCCGUGUGAAAGCGCAGAAUAGCUGCAGUGGAUGUUAACUGCACAGAGACCUUGCCGAGGGACAUAGAACUCGUUCAGAAAGCUGUCAUAGGCCCAGUGUAAACCAUGUGCUGGGUACGAGGCUGUAACAUAGGCUUAAUUUUGUGGGACUCUUGUGCAGGCCAAGGAGGUUCCAACAAGAACUGUGGUUUGUGUGACAGGCAAUGCAUGUUUAUGCCUUUCUAAGUCCAUGGCUGUGAACACACCGUCAGCCCUGUCCAGGGGGCUCUGUGUCUGCCUGUGGUGAUGGGACAAAGCUGUGUGGCUUUGGUCAUGGCACUCUCCUUGGAGCUUCAGGUGACAGUAAGGUGGGAACACUGGCCCCAUUUCUUGCCUCUGGGGUACCCAUAGAGUGCUUGGCUUAUGCCAUGUACAUGCGAUAACUCUAACCAGAUGGCUCUGAACUUCCGAAUUUUUUUUUUUAGUUUCUUUUUUUCUUUCUUUCUUUUUUUUUUUAAAGAUUUAUUUAUUUUAUGUAUGUGAGUAUACUGUAGCUAUACAGAUGGUUGUGCGCCUUCAUGUGGUUCCUUCAUGUGGUUGUUGGGAAUUGAAUUUUUAGGACCUCUGCUCGCUCAAGACCAAGCUGGUAAAGUCAGCUACUUACUCCGGCCCAAAGAUUUCUUUAUUAUUAUACAUAAGUACACUGUAGCUGUCUUCAGACGCACCAGAAGACGGUGUCAGAUCUCAUUGCGGGUGGUUGUGAGCCACCAUGUGGUUGCUGGGAUUUGAACUCAGGACCUUUGGAAGAACAGUCAGUGCUCUUACCUGCUGAGCCAUCUCUCCAGCCCUGAGCUUCUGAUUCUUUAUUUUACCUCCCCAUGCUGGGAAUACAGGCAUGGGCUCACAUCCCAUUUCCUAUGGUGCUGGGGACAGCGCUCAGCACCCUGUGCGCGCUCUGCAAGCAUCCCACCAAGUGAGGCACUAUCCCUUAGCAUUGAGGUUUAUUUUGAGACCGAAUGUCACCAUGCUAUCUAGGCUGGCCUUGAACUUGAAGCAUUCUUCCUGCCUCUCAGCCUGCCUCAACUUUCCAAAUCCUGAAAUUUACAGUGUUCUAUGUAGCUGAGCUUGUUGUGGAACUCACUAGGUAGAUCAGGCUAUCCUUGAAAUCAUAGAGACCUUCCUGCCUUUGCCUCCUGAGUGCUGGGAUUAAAGGUAGAACCACCAUGCCCAUCUCAAUCUCUCUCUCUCUCUCUCUCUCUCUCUCUCUCUCUGUGUGUGUGUGUGUGUGUUCUUUGGAAUGAAUGGAGUGUGGGGUGAGCUUAAGCUUUGGGCAUCCAUGUCCUACUGGACUCAGGAAAGUUUGCUCAUAGUUGACAGGCACCUGAAGUCCCUGAUUUGAUCUUGAAGCUUCUGGUGGGUAUUGGAUGAUUUUUUUUCUCUCCCUCUAGCUUGGACUCUUCUGGAUUCUCAGAUGGGAAAACUGAAAUGAUCUAAAUGUUAGGAGGCUAGUAGGGUCACAAGGUCAAGGCCAGCCUGGAGUACAUAGGAGACCCUGCCUCAGAAAGAAAGGAAGAAAGAAAGAAGGAAGGAAGGAAGGAAGGAAGGAAGGAAGGAGAGAAAGAAAGAAAGAAAGAAAGAAAGAAAGAAAGAA
rnacentral:lncRNA from 1 species